rnacentral:lncRNA from 1 species
GUCCAGUGUGUGGGUAGAGUCCAGUGUGUGGGUAGAGUCCAGUGUGUGGGUAGAGUCCAGUUUGUGGGUAGAGUCCAGUGUGUGGGUAGAGUCCAGUGUGUGGGUAGAGUCCAGUGUGUGGGUAGAGUCCAGUGUGUGGGUAGAGUCCAGUGUGUGGGUAGAGUCCAGUGUGUGGGUAGAGUCCAGUGUGUGGGUAGAGUCCAGUGUGUGGGUAGAGUCCAGUGUGUGGGUAGAGUCCAGUUUGUGGAUAGAGUCCAGUGUGUGGGUAGAGUCCAGUGUGUGGGUAGAGUCCAGUGUGUGGAUAGAGUCCAGUGUGUGGGUAGAGUCCAGUGUGUGGGUAUAGUCCAGUGUGUGGGUAGAGUCCAGUGUGUAGGUAGAGUCCAGUGUGUGGGUAGAGUCCAGUUUGUGGGUAGAGUCCAGUGUGUGGGUAGAGUCCAGUG